rnacentral:lncRNA from 1 species
GAUGAGUGCCAUCGUUACGAUAUUAUUAUAUUUAUUCCUAUAAGCCACCUAAUAAGUAUGCAACCAGUUAUGCGUUCGUGCUUAGAACGGGUUACCUAGAUUUGUGACCAAAUAUAAUAGAAGGUUGGUACUACGCUUGGGGAAUUCUGGUCUUAGCUUGUGGCUGUACGGCUUCCGACGGAGGGGCAUGUCAUAUCGCCCAUCGGAGAGGAUUGUCACUUCAAUUUUCAAUCUGGUUGGAUGAACAAGUAAAUUUUUCCGUGGUCACUGUUUAAAGAAUACAAUAUUUAGUUAAAAUAUUCAUUUAUUAUAAGAUUGGUUUAUUUUGGAAGGAGCUAUUUUUUGUUUUGGGAUUUGUGCGGUGAGAGGAAGAGUUUUAUUUCCAAGUUUCCUUUUGGAAAACAGUGGGUAAGUCGGCUAUUAAGUAUUCUUGUAAAAAAAAAACAUGGUUCUCAUUCUCAAUACAAUACUUAUAGUAAUAUUAUAAUUGUUAUUCUAUGAAUAUAAAACAUCAGGUCUUAACGAGUCAAUCUCACUAUCAAAUUCAUGUUUCUACAAGAAAAAUUCUUUCAAAUUAAAUUUCCAGUUCAAAAUAGUUUCUGAAGUAAUGACACUUUUCAUUUCCUUUUAGUAUCUACGUCUAUAAAGUAAUCCCUUAUUGCAAUAUAUACAUAUCUUCUUGGUUCAUAUGUCCUUCCAUUUCUUUACAUUUCCAUUUUUGUUCAAGGUUAAUGACACUUACUUAUAAAUGUCAAUAGCUCCUCUUUUUUCGGUAAUUUUUUCUAGAAAUUUUUAUAAGGUUUUUAUACCUUUCUUAUAUGCCCUGUUUUUUGUGUACUUAAGGAACACCAGCUAAUAGGAGAUUCUUAUGCUUUUAGCCACGGAAGAAAAUAAGAAGAUGGUAAAUUAAGUCAAUCAUACUUUAAUUUGUUUUUUUGGAAUACAUAAUCAUUUUGGGGAUAUUUUGGAUGGAAUGUGGAUGUUUUGUUUGGUUUUUGUGGAAUAAAAGUUGAGUUUUCCGAUACUGGGCAGCUACCUGCUUGCCGUACCUUCCUGUUGGUGUGGAGUACCUCCCUAGGGUUGGGAACCAGAGGAUACCUUAUUUGGCUCUCCCCUCAUCAUCUUCACCGAAGGUUGGAAGAAGCAAUCCGCCUACUUUUUGUAGGGACAGGUUUUUAUAUAACUAAAUUUGCAUGUCAAUUUGUUUUAAUAAUAACUUCCAAUUUUACUAUUUUUUUUCUCUUCGUAUCAAUAACUUUCAAAUCACUCUAAUAAUAAUAUACCCUCAUUGUUUUUUCUUAACCAUAAUUAACAUAAUAUUCAAUAUUUUUCAACAAUUUUUAUUAUAUUUCACCCUUAUUUAAUUUAUUUAAAAUAGCCUGGGAUUUAUAAACCAUAUGUAAGAUAAUGUGCACAGUAUCUAGGUCAUAUCCUAUUUAAUAAUAUUUAUUCCAGUUGUCGGAUGUUGUCACCUCCGAUUAGAUACGGUAUUGUCAACCAAUAUUGUAACCCUCAUUAAUAAUAAGUUGUUAAGGUAAAUACCUAUUCAUACUAAAUUCAUUACAUAUUUUUUUUCUACUGUAAAACCAGCAUUAUCGACAGCAGUGUACUAGCCUAGUACGUCGGAUAAUUAGCUAGUGUAAAAAUUGUAUAUAGGGUAUAUAGGUUUUUUUUAUUAAAUGUGGUUGUACAUA